rnacentral:rRNA from 1 species
UACUAGCUGUUCAAGUCGCAGCCACAAUUAUUGGGUCUAAAACAUCCGUAGCUUGUUUAGUAAGUCCUCUGUGAAAUUCUACCUCUUAAGGGUAGAGCGUGCAGAGGGUACUGCUGAGCUAGAGACUGGAAGGCGUAGAAAGUACGUUCGAAGUAGCGGUAAAAUGUUUUAAUCUCGGACGGACUCACAAUAGCGAAGGCAUUCUACGAAGACAGUUCUGACAGUAAGGGAUGAAGGCUAGGGGCGCGAAAGG